UACGGGGGGGGCAAGCGUUGUUCGGAAUUACUGGGCGUAAAGGGCUCGUAGGCGGCCAACUAAGUCAGACGUGAAAUCCCUCGGCUUAACCGGGGAACUGCGUCUGAUACUGGAUGGCUUGAAUCCGGGAGAGGGAUGCGGAAUUCCAGGUGUAGCGGUGAAAUGCGUAGAUAUCUGGAGGAACACCGGUGGCGAAGGCGGGUCUCUGGGCCGUAACUGACGCUGAGGAGCGAAAGCAUGGGGAGCGAACAGG
rnacentral:rRNA from 1 species